ensembl:lncRNA
UGACAAGUUACCAGUGACCCGGGCUGCAGAUGCCUCCUCGCUCCAACUCUUACCCUGCCAUGAAGUAAACAAUCACGUUAUUCUUUCGGUGGCAUUCUCUGAUGCCCACGUCAGACAGUUUGUUUAUCUACAACAAUAUGGGAGGAAUGCUGCUUCACGUGCUCACAGGGAAGAACACGUAACUCAACAUCCACAUUGCCGCAGGUCCUGUGCCCUUUGGGUCAUUCAACCUUCAAAGCAAGGUAUGGAGUCAAAUACGACCAUUCCCGUUUUACAGAUGGGGAAACUGCAGCUCAGAGAGGCUAACUAGCUCAUCGUAUAGCAAUUUUCCAGGAGAUGAUCUGAUAGUCAAAAGGAAAGCAAUCUUUUAAAAAACAGAAUAAACUUAAGAAAAAUGUUGGUACAAAAUGAAAUGCUGCGCCAGCUCAUCCGUGUGGAUGUUGAAAAUGAAGGGGUUGGAGAGGACACUCAUUCUUUUGAAAAUUCAUCUGCUUUCCAUAAGGUAGACCUGAAACCGUAUUUGGUCACUUAAUGAUAUAUUCAGACCAAAAUACUAUCGUCUGUGGCUCAACAUGGUUAGGUUAGGUUGGGAGGUUGUAUUUUAUUCUAAGUGCAACAGGAAGCCAUUGAAAGGUUUUUGGCAGGGAACCGACCUGACUUGAUUUGUGUUGAAAGCUCAUGCUGGGUGCUAAAUAUUUGUUGAAUGAAUGAGUGAAUGAAUUAAUACAACAACAAACGAAUGAAUGAACAUUAGGUGUGGUGAGUGCUGUGAACGCAAAGCACAGAGAGCCAUGAAAGCAUAUGAGGAGAAUUCAGCGGUGGAGAGGGUGAUAAAGCUUGCAGCUUGGAGGCAGAAAUGAAGAGAAGUGGAUUCAAGGCAUAUUUAUGACAUAAAAUUAAUGGGACUUGCUGAUGUUCUUGACGUGGAGCCUGGAGGAACACACUAGAUGUGAAGGAGACAAAUUCACCAGGCUGCUUUCUGACGUUCCAAACCAGAAGUCAAUAUUUCAGGUCAAAAGCAUUCGGCACAUCUAAACCUUAUAGUGGUGGCAGCAUCCUUCUUCACUGAACACAUCAUAGCCGCCUUGGUCAUUUAUUCAGAAGGGUCAGGAGACAUACGACAGCUAAAUGGUCUGACGGAAUGGCUGCACCAACACUGGAAAGACGCGAAGAGGAGUUAAACGGAGCUAACUGAGCUCACGGGAAAGGAACGAAAGCCCAGUGACUUUGCCUCACCUGUUGAGAAAUUUCGACAAAGCCUCAUUUUGAGCCACACACUGAAGGGGCUGAACAUGAGAGUUUACAUACAUUUAGGUCAUGUAAUCUUCCCCACAGUCCUAUGAGAUUACCUUAUUAUCAUUAAAAAGAAGGAAAGUAGAACGAAGAUUUGAAACUUUUGAGCUCUAAAACCCUUGUUUUAACCGUUACGACUCUCCUACAUGAACAUAUAUCUGAGCAUGAAGACAGAACCUUUCUGGAACCAAUUCGACUCAUUUCAACAGGCUCCUCAGUAGGAUUUUAUAGGCAGUGAAAACCCAUAGAUCCAAACCAUUUCUCUCAGGAGCCUGAUUUUCCCCCAGUCUGGGCUUUGGGAGUAAGGUAUUACUUCUAGAACAACCCAGUUAAAUGUAGACAGGAGAUAAUAAAUUAUAGGUGAUAACAAAUUUAGAUAUAGG